CUGGGGUUCUGGGGUGGGGAUGGUAGAUGAUGAAUUCUGGCAUCUAGGCUGGUACUCCAGUAGUCACUUGGGCUCUUUGGAUCUGUAGUGGGGCUAUGUUUGUCUCUGGUUGUAAAUAAAGACUUGCUCAGUUUACUUAAAAGAGGCUCCCUCAUCCCUCACAACCCUUCUUGGGAAGGACUAGAGAAAUCAGGGGCUUAUUUAAUGUAACAUAAUUUAAAGAAGGGCUUCCUUGGUGGCUUAGAUGGCAAAGCACCCGCCUGCAAUGCAGGAAACCUGGGUUUGACUCCUGGGUUAGGAACAGCCCCUGGAGAAGAGAAUGGCAACCCACUCUAGUAUUCUUGCCUGGAGAAUUCUGUGGACAAGGGAGCCUGGCGGGCUACAGUCCAUGGGGUUGCAAAGAGUUGGACACAACUGAGCAACUAACACACACACACACAAUUUAAAGGAACAUACAAUAUCCCUUUAAGAUGCACAGAAUUUGAGUGCCAAAUGCUGUACCUUGAGCAGUCUGGUUUUAUUCCUGUGCAGGUUUUCACAGGGUGUUAUUGGAGGGUUGCAGCAGAAAGUUUAUAGUUUUUUCUUUAAUCCUUGCAAAGUGGCAGGACUCGCAUUGGAGUGUGAAAGGAAUCAGAUACUUAUAAUUAUUUUUACCUAUUUGGAUCAGGUCUGCAAAACGAUACAGAAAGCCAGCAAGCUGUUUAAAUUGCUACAUGAUGCAGGAAAAAGAACUGGUUUUACUUCUAUGGAAAACCCUGUCAUUCACCUGUUGAGACUCUGGAUAAUUUCAAGUGAUUCUUGGAGGUUUCUUCUCAAUAUAUUUGCCAGUUCUCUCCACAAAAAAAUGUAGGGAGGAUAAGAAGAUAGUAUCAGGAAAAAUAAAUCACAUUCCUUUAAAAUAUUUUUUUCCUACGUCUAUUUCUAAUGCCAAUAAUAGAAAUUAUGUGGAAGAAAUGUUAAUAAGUGUGGCUUGAUGGCUUUAUGUGUUUGAUGGGCUCCCUGAUGCCCUCAUGAAAUCAGGUUGCCAAAAACAAACCGGGGAAACAGGGAAGUGUAGAACACAGAGAUGAGUAUCAGAGAACUCCAUGCUAUUUCUAAGGAUGUGUAUGAUUUAUGAAAAACACUGUUAAGGUUUUUGGAGUGUGGUAUCUCCAUUUCCACUUCUGUAAGUGUGGAUGAGUUAGAUGAAGACUGUAACACACAGCUGGAACAUGGCAGGAUACUUGACAGCUAGAAGGACCACCCCAGUCCAGCUGCCUUCCUAGCUGGGUUGGAGAAGGGAAUUGAGACUGGGGGUAGAGGAGGGGGUGGGGAUGGAGUGCAAUUUGAGAAAAUCAAUGGGAAGAUUAGUUGAGAGUGAUAGAGAAUCCCAAAUAACCUUUGACACAGACACUACCUUUUUGUCAAGUGAUAAACACAGUCAUGGGGAAGGUACUGCCCUGUUGAAUGUAUAUUGCUAACUUCAUUGAUUUUACUUUCAUUCUGGUACAUCUUAUUUUGGUAAAUAUCAUAAAUCAGUCUUCAUUCUAAACAUGAUUCAUGUAAAAUGGUUCACAUAGGGUAGGAAGCUGAACUGAUCUACGCAAGUGAGAGGUUAGGAAAAUAAAUGUCUAUCUAGGAAAUAUAUAUUAUUUCCUCUGUAUUAAACUGCUUAAUGAAAGGUGUGAACAUAGCUUUGAACAUGGCUUCUUGUUCUGUUUCUUAAUCCUGUGAAAGAGAGACAGUGUACGGUUGGGCAUGAACUUGAAUCAACUGAUCUAGAUUUGAAUCCCAAAUCUAGUAUUGAUUAGCCAUUUGAUCCUAAGAAUGCUGCUUAGGAUCAUGCUUUUUUCAGUCUUAGUGUAACUGCAAGGAUUAAAUGAGAUGAUGGAUCAAAAAUGCUUUCAAUUUUUUGUCUAUAAUCUGUAGCAGGAAAUACAUUUUUUUUGCAUCACUAGAUAAUGUACCCAAAUGUACACACAGAGAGAAACAUACAACUUUAACAAACAUUUCAUGAAGCGAUGGUCACCCUUACUAUGUGUAAUAUACACUGAUAUUUUCUGUUCCAUUCUACUGCAUAUUUUAAGAAAUUCUGGUCAUGAUCCACUAAGUUAAUUUUACAAUUCGUCAAUGAUUUAGGACCCACAGUAAGAAAAACCAGAUUUGAUACUUAGCACAGUGACUGGUAUACAGUCAUUGUUCUAUAAGGAAUAAACAUUGCACUUAGGAGGGAAUGAUGUCAUGUAAUAGGUUUAUUGAGGUAUAAUUCUUUGGCUAGAGGAAGUUGUAAUAAAAAUGCUAAAGUUUCUUAAUGAGAGUAGCGCCAAGGUUGCCAAUAUGAUAUAAAGCACUUUCCCCUCUUCCUCUUCUUUCUGAUUAAGGCACAUCAUUGAAGACCAGAGACAAACAAGUUGGAAAAACUGAAAACAAAACAUCAUUCCUUUUUCCUUAGCAUAAUUUAAUUAAAAUUUCUUAACCUAAAGCUUGAUUUCAGAAUGAUUAAUAUUGACAACUUUGGAAAAUAAAUACUCAAAGGAGGAAAGCAGAAAGGAUGCUGUUUGUACACAACUAAAGCACAUUUAACUAGCAGCAGUGAAGGUGAGGCCUGAUGAAUUUCUAUCCAAUAGCUGACUGUGGAGCAUCAUUUUCUCCUCUCUUUUCUUCUUCAGAAACAAGGAGAAAAUUCAGGGUAAAAAAAAUGUAAGUAUACUUGGCAUACAAGGUUUCUGUUGCUACUGUGGCAAAUUGCCAUAAAUGCAGAUAUUUACAAUUCAAAUUUCUUAUCUUACUGUUUUCAUGGGUUGGAAGUCCAAGUGUAUCAUGGCUCAGUUGGUUCUUUGGCUCUGGGUAUCACAGGCUGAAUAAUGUGUUGGCAGGGCUGUGUUACUUUUUUGGAGACUUUGGGAUUGGAUCUCUUCUAAGCCGAUUCAGGCUGUUGGACCAGUUUGGUUCUUUGGGGUUGAAGGACUGAGGUAUGUUUACUUGCUGGCUGUCAGCGAGGGAGGCAGGCAGACUUUGCUCCUAGAGGCUGCCUACAGUCCUCCUCAAGCUGUCCAUAUGGCUCAACAGAAGUUGAGUUCCUCUCACUGUUUGAAUCUCUCUGACUUCCCUUUGUGCCACAUUUCUCAUCCCAGCAGAAGAAUUUUUUCUGCUUUUAAGGGUUCAUGUAAUUAAAUUGGGCCCACACAGAUAAUUCAGGACCAUCUCUAUAUCUUGAGGUCUAUAACCAUUAUAUCUGCAAAGUCUCUUUGUAAUAUACCAUAUUCACAAAAUCCGGAGAAGUGUGGGCAUCUUUGGUGGGGAUUUGGGAGAGGGUAUUAUUUGCCUGCUAUAUUUGGUUUGGAAAUUAUUUUCUCUGUAGAGAAGAAAUUUUAUUGCUGUCAGAGUUUUCAUGGCUCUUAGAGUUACUGAAUAAAUCAUAAAAUUAUAGGAUUUUAGAGGGGGACAGCAUUCAGGAACUUCAACUUCCUCAUUUCACAAUGAGGAAACCAAACAGAAUUACUUGCUUAGUCUCACAGGAGGUUGGUGAAAGUGUUAGCGGGGCAAUCCAUGAUUCUAGACUUCUGGUCCUUUUUCAUGGCUCAGACAUUCAGAAAUGCUGAUGAAUUAUAUUCCUGGGAAGGUGGAUCUUGGGGAAGAAAUAAAUUAAAAGUUAGCAAUGGGGAAGCUAGGCUUUUUGUUUUUCUCCCUCUCCUGAUCUGACUCCUAGGAAGCAUUUGCAAAGAAAAAUUCUGAAGCUUUAAGGAAUUAUUUUAUAUCAUCCUAGAAUCGUGGAAAAAUUUAAAAGCCUUUCUACUUAAAAAUACCAGGGUUCUUAAAAAUUUCUCAUCCAGUUACUUUAGAUGAAAAAUGUUUAUUUUUCUUCUUUUUAAUAUGGUGUUAAUAUCAUUGUUUCUGAGGUUAGCAAAGCCUGAGAGAAUGAGGAAUAAAAGGAGUGAAAGAGGAUGAAAAGAGAGCCUAAAACCAUCAAUUUCAGGGGCCUCUAAAAUGGAAUUCUCACUGCUAUGCUUUUGCAGUCUCAGGCUGAGAUGAAUACACAAGACCAGUACUGGUUUACUCUUUGUUAAUAUCAGUGGAAGCUGGAAAGCAGUUCUAUCUAUCUAUUGAAAUUUAUCUAUCAAUUAUUCUUUCAUUCCUACUUCUUUCACUCUUCAUUUACUGAGGUCUUGUUAUAUGUCUAGUGCUAUGCUAAGGGCUGUGAUACAUUGAGGAAUAAGAUAAGGCAUCUGUCUUUAAAAGAUCAUAGUUUAGCCAGAGAGACAGAUAUAGGAACAGAUAUAAUAGCAUGUUGUCCCAGAAUUGUGACUAAAACCCCAAUAUGAAAGUAAAAGGCUCAAAGAGCCCUACUUCUUUGGCAGAGGGGAGUCAGACAGUUCCUUCUGGGGCUUCCUAGGAGGCGGUAGAACUUCCAGCCGUGAUCCUGGUGCCACACCAAGGAUGAAAGGUAAGGGAGGGGGCAGUGGCAGUUUACAUAAGAAAUCUUGAAUUUUCAGAGUUGCUAACCUCAUGGGGAGUACAGUGCUUGUGGUAAGAUGGCAUUGCCACUCUCCCAGGGGGAGCAGAGGGAUUGCUUUUCCUUCCCUAACUUCGAAUAAAGGGACCCCUCAGAUACUCAUUUGUAAAGCCUGGAUGUGUCUGCCACAAGGCAGAAAGAGAUGGGCAUCUCAUACCCCAGGCAUCAGACUUGCUGAUCUGCCCCUGAACACCCAAGACAAGGACAGGAAUUGGAGGGAGACACAAGGGUGCAGAAAAGGAGCAGCAAUAGUCUAUGACCUGCACCAGCACCAACUGGGAAGGGGCUGUGAGUCUCUAGUGAAUUGAGCAUACCAUCCAGAAGGUGGCCUUGAGCUCUUUUGCUGAUAGUUCACAUAAGAGGGUUGCCUACAGGAUGAGGGCCCCCCAGAAGCAAGGGGCUGUUGGAUGGACCAGCCUCUUAGAGGAUAGAAUAGAUGGAGUUGGGAGGAUAGAUAUCCCACAUCAGUGUACUAUGGGGUGAGGAGGCUCCUCUGAUAUCCCCAUCAACACACUCGUGAACCACACAAAAGAGUCAGCUUUGGGUGUCUGCCCCACAUGCCUUGCCUUACUGACCAGUCAAGAUUGGGCAGAGAGAGGCCAGACUCCGGUUAAGUAAGGAGAAGUUUGUCUUCCACCAAUACUCCUCCUCCCAAUCUUCCUUGCCUUUUCUGUCCCCAAAGCAUCUGGAAUCUGCAGAUGGAGAAGGGCAGCCAUGAAAGAAUGUCUUCCUUCCUGCUCCAAGUUCUUCAAGCCAAAUGCCUGACUUGCAGUGAAGGGGAGGGAAAGUUUUGAAUCAGAUAUGAGUCCAGACUUGUUAACAGGAUGGGACUGAACUUUAACAACUGAACAUAAAUAGAAAGUUAUGGGACCUGCCCGAAGUGUUAAAGGAUUUACUAUUGAGCAGGGAAGGAAGAUCUGAGAGAUUGUGAGUGAAAACAGUGAUUAAAAAUGUUUUGUUUUUUCCCCACUUAUUGGAAAUUUUAAUCCCUCAAUAUACUGGUUCCAAAAUAAAUGCAGAACAGAAUUGAUUUGUCCUAUAAUGGUGACAAAUAACAAGUGUUUUUUCUUUCUUGCAUAAUGUUUGUUUUUCCUAGAACUAAUAAAAUUGUUUUGUUUUGGUUUUUUUUGGUUUGCUUAUUACAUUUGGUUUUCUAUUUACAUAUCACAAAGUCAACCCCAACCAUUUCCCCCUAAUUGUCAAAACUCUGGGUAGGUUGAAAUACAUAAAGUGUUCUAUCAAAUUCACCUUGUUAAAAAGUCAUUUUUAGAAUCUUUCCUGAUCUACUUCAAUUUGAACUGAUUGUUCUCUGUGUUUGCCAUAGAUCUGUCCUCAUGUGACCUCCUAAGAAUGUUUUUUUUUUUUGUUUUUUAAUUUUAUUUUGUGAUAGAUCCUCCAUUUUCUGGAUUCCAGGUCUCCUUUUUUCUUAACUCACUUCUUUACUUUGGUGGAGCACUUUCUCCAACAACUGAAAAAUAUUGUGUGAAAGAUCGAUUUGGGGAGACCUUGCAUAUAAAAAAUGUUUUUAGUCUACCUGUGGUAAUUUAUUUACCAAACAGCUGCAAUAAUUCUCCACCUUGAAUUAUUACCAUUGUGCUCAGUUACUAAGUCAUGUCCAACCCUUUUGCGACCCCAUAAACUAUAGUAGCUCACCAGCCUCCUCUGUCCAUGGGAUUUCCCAGACAAGAAUACUAGAGUGGGUUACCAUUCUUUCCUCCAGCAGGUCUUCCUGACCCAGAUAUCAAACCCAUGACUCCUGUGUCUCCUGCAUUGGCAGGUGGAUUCUUUACCACUGAGCCAUCUGGGAAGCCCUUUGGUCAAUGGGACAGUAUCAAACAUGAGACCUCCAAGCCUGCAACAUGUGUGUACAAGGCCAUCCUAGAUGAUCUACCCCCGACUGGAAAGAUUCACCAAGUCAGCAGAAAAACCACACUGAUGACCCAGAGAAUUAUGAUA
ensembl:lncRNA